AAAAACAUAGCCCUUUUUUUCUGCACAAAAAUUUUGAGGACUUGCUAAUUUCUUUCCAUUGUCAUGCCUCUCUUUUGUAGAAACCUACUUAUAUUAUAACAUGGAAUCUUUGACACAUCUGUCUGUUGUACAGGAAAAGGCUACUGUGGAAAGUGAUCAUUCUUAAGUGUCUAUCUAGCGGUUAUAUAUAUAUAUAUAAUUCUUGGUAGAAAAAACUAGACACCUAUUGGAGGAAGGAAAAGGCAACCUUGCUUAACUAAUUUCUAUGAAUGAAAUCAUAGUCUCACAGCUAAGUUUGUAAUAUCAACUUGAGGUUCUAUGUAAUAUAGCGAACAGCACGAGUUCAAUGUCGUCUUGUAAACAUUGAGAUCAGCUUAUAUUUCAGAUAGACAUAAUCUUUGCAGUGGUUAUUCCUAAUAUAUAAUUUCUGGAACUUAACACUAAUUUUAUUUAUUGCCAAGUUAAUAUUGAUGGCAUGGGCUUAUCCAAGAAAGUUCUUGUUAAGCUGCAUUAUUUGGAUGGCUUAUAUAAUAUUCUUGGUAUAUCAAAUGUCUUGUGGAAAUUUUUAGGCAAAAUUUCCUAUGCAAUGCAUCAUACGUUUUGGGGAAAUUUUUGGGCAAUUCUGGUGGGCUAAAUGUUAUGUGAAUUUCUUCUGUCCUUUUCCAAAGAUUUGGCCUGCAAGAAUAGAUGCUUUCAUGAACAUUAAACGGUCUUGUUUGUGCAGAUGAGUGGAGGAGAUCUUGGUGUAUCAGCAUUUCCUGAAGGCGAGUGCAUUUUCACAUGGAUUGGCACAAUUGAGGGUGGAAAGGGAACCGUGUAUGAGGGUUUGUCAUAUAAACUUUCUUUGCGUUUUCCUCUGGACUACCCCUUUAAACCACCACAAGUCAAAUUUGAGACAAAUUGCUUUCACCCAAACGUCGAUCAGUAUGGCAAUAUAUGCCUAGACAUACUCCAGGUAUCAAUCAACAUGAUAGUAGUAUUUUUCCCUAAGCUUUGUGCUUAUGGCUUUGAGGAUAAAAUGAGACAACUAUUCAGUUGUCUAUUGGGCUGACAUAGAUCACUUGCACUGCUUGUAAAGAGGUUGACCUAAAAUUUUACUUUGCAAUCAAAGAUAGUUGCAAAUAAUUACAGUAUGAAAUGCAAAAGUUCAUAUGGACUUAAGUUUUCCUCAGUUGGCUAAACUUUUUUCAUUAUAACUGUUUUAAGACUUGGUGAAAGGUAACAUAUAUGAAGCAGAUAAACCUGGCCAAGAUUGUCAAAGUCUGGUUCUGCCUUUUAAUAUCUGGAAUGGUUAUAUUUUGUUGGUUGCUUAGAAUUGUAAUUUUGAAUUUUUAUUUAUGUAUUUCUUGUGAUACUAAGAAGAGCAUUGCAUCAUGUCUCUUAGGAGAAGUGGUCUUCAGCUUACGAUUGCAGAACCAUUCUUUUGUCCAUUCAGAGUCUGUUGGGAGGUCUCUUUCCUAUAUUUCCUACAUGUUUGAGCGUAGUUUUUGUUGGUAUCUUUAUCUGACCAUUUAGUUCUCAUGCAGAACCUAACCCAGACAGUCCUCUCAACAGCUAUGCUGCGAAAUUAUGGAAUAAUAAGGAAGACUACAAGAAGAUGGUCCACAAACAGUACUAUGCUGGAGAAGUAUUUGAGAGCUGAUCUGAAUUCUUAUCACAGAUAACAUCUGAAAUGUUAACUGCCAGGCCUUUUCUUCUAAUGCUUCGAGGGAAGUCUGCAAUGAGUUUGUACAUUUGUACUUCUCUCUCAAAUGAAAACUUGUCAUGUGAAACAGAUUCAUUCACAUAAUUUGUCUAUAUCUAUAUGUUUCCCUCACUCUGAUCAAAUGAUUUAGCAUUUUCUGUGUUUCAACUGGAAAAUGAAAUCAUGCAAAGAGUUGUAAAUUUUUCAGAAUCAAAUGAAACUAUUUCUCACUUCUUC
rnacentral:misc_RNA from 1 species